rnacentral:rRNA from 1 species
AUUGAACGCUGGCGGCAGGCCUAACACAUGCAAGUCGAACGGUAACAGGAAGAAGCUUGCUUCUUUGCUGACGAGUGGCGGACGGGUGAGUAAUGUCUGGGAAACUGCCUGAUGGAGGGGGAUAACUACUGGAAACGGUAUCUAAUACCGCAUAACGUCGCAAGACCAAAGAGGGGGACCUUCGGGCCUCUUGCCAUCGGAUGUGCCCAGAUGGGAUUAGCUAGUAGGUGGGGUAACGGCUCACCUAGGCGACGAUCCCUAGCUGGUCUGAGAGGAUGACCAGCCACACUGGAACUGAGACACGGACCAGACUCCUACGGGAGGCAGCAGUGGGGAAUAUUGCACAAUGGGCGCAAGCCUGAUGCAGCCAUGCCGCGUGUAUGAAGAAGGCCUUCGGGUUGUAAAGUACUUUCAGCGGGGAGGAAGGGAGUAAAGUUAAUACCUUUACUCAUUGACGUUACCCGCAGAAGAGGCACCGGCUAACUCCGUG